AUCUAGGCUCUUGCAUCGAUGAAGAACGUAGCGAAAUGCGAUACUUGGUGUGAAUUGCAGAAUCCCGUGAACCAUCGAGUCUUUGAACGCAAGUUGCGCCCGAUGCCAUUAGGUUGAGGGCACGUCUGACUGGGUGUCACAUAUCGAAGCCUCCUACCAAUUUC
rnacentral:rRNA from 1 species